rnacentral:rRNA from 1 species
GAUGAACGCUGGCGGCGUGCCUAAUACAUGCAAGUCGAGCGAACGGACGAGAAGCUUGCUCCUCUGAUGUUAGCGGCGGACGGGUGAGUAACACGUGGAUAACCUACCUAUAAGACUGGGAUAACUUCGGGAAACCGGAGCUAAUACCGGAUGAUAUUUUGAACCGCAUGGUUCAAUAGUGAAAGACGGUCUUGCUGUCACUUAUAGAUGGAUCCGCGCUGCAUUAGCUAGUUGGUAAGGUAACGGCUUACCAAGGCAACGAUGCAUAGCCGACCUGAGAGGGUGAUUGGCCACACUGGAACUGAGACACGGUCCAGACUCCUACGGGAGGCAGCAGUAGGGAAUCUUCCGCAAUGGGCGAAAGCCUGACGGAGCAACGCCGCGUGAGUGAUGAAGGUCUUCGGAUCGUAAAACUCUGUUAUUAGGGAAGAACAUAUGUGUAAGUAACUGUGCACAUCUUGACGGUACCUAAUCAGAAAGCCACGGCUAACUACGUG